rnacentral:rRNA from 1 species
UGCAAGUCGAGCGGGGGAAGGUAGCUUGCUACCGGACCUAGCGGCGGACGGGUGAGUAAUGCUUAGGAAUCUGCCUAUUAGUGGGGGACAACAUCUCGAAAGGGAUGCUAAUACCGCAUACGUCCUACGGGAGAAAGCAGGGGAUCUUCGGACCUUGCGCUAAUAGAUGAGCCUAAGUCGGAUUAGCUAGUUGGUGGGGUAAAGGCCUACCAAGGCGACGAUCUGUAGCGGGUCUGAGAGGAUGAUCCGCCACACUGGGACUGAGACACGGCCCAGACUCCUACGGGAGGCAGCAGUGGGGAAUAUUGGACAAUGGGGGGAACCCUGAUCCAGCCAUGCCGCGUGUGUGAAGAAGGCCUUAUGGUUGUAAAGCACUUUAAGCGAGGAGGAGGCUACUUUAGUUAAUACCUAGAGAUAGUGGACGUUACUCGCAGAAUAAGCACCGGCUAACUCUGUGCCAGCAGCCGCGGUAAUACAGAGGGUGCGAGCGUUAAUCGGAUUUACUGGGCGUAAAGCGUGCGUAGGCGGCUUAUUAAGUCGGAUGUGAAAUCCCCGAGCUUAACUUGGGAAUUGCAUUCGAUACUGGUGAGCUAGAGUAUGGGAGAGGAUGGUAGAAUUCCAGGUGUAGCGGUGAAAUGCGUAGAGAUCUGGAGGAAUACCGAUGGCGAAGGCAGCCAUCUGGCCUAAUACUGACGCUGAGGUACGAAAGCAUGGGGAGCAAACAGGAUUAGAUACCCUGGUAGUCCAUGCCGUAAACGAUGUCUACUAGCCGUUGGGGCCUUUGAGGCUUUAGUGGCGCAGCUAACGCGAUAAGUAGACCGCCUGGGGAGUACGGUCGCAAGACUAAAACUCCCCGUGGAAUUUUACACGUGCGCGCGCGAGAACAGCCCUGCGAGCGAUGGUGGUUUUGGUGUCCCAUGACAACCGCCGAAAAAAGCGGUUACCAUGCCCCUUUGGUGAUUACUAGCAGAGCUUUUGCGAGGACUAUUAGAAUUAGGUGGGGGUGUCGGCUAACUCCUAGGGAGAAAAAGCUCGCCUCACAUUGGGUGGGGGGGGUUGAGACUAACAAGGACCCGCCCCCCGUGGGUCGGAGGUUGAAUGUGGUGGGUGUUUCAAUGCCCAGCGAAAGACGGGUUGCCCGCUAACCCUUAGCCCCGGGGCAGGGCGGGGGGGAGGAGGGAAAUGUUGGGGAAGGCCCGGAAACCUGUUUUGAGAGGAAGAAAAAACCCGGCCGGCCUUGGGGGGGCCACACCCCGGAAGGA